rnacentral:rRNA from 1 species
AUUCUUUAUGCGUGAAAUGGAUUCGUCUGCCCAAGGAUGGGUCUGCGGCCUAUCAGGUAGUAGUGGGUGUAAUGUACCUACUAGCCGACGACGGGUACGGGUUGUGAGAGCAAGAGCCCGGAGAUGGAUUCUGAGACAUGAAUCCAGGCCCUACGGGGCGCAGCAGGCGCGAAAACUUUACAAUGCGGGAAACCGUGAUAAGGGGACACCGAGUGCCAGCAUCAUAUGCUGGCUGUCCGGGUGUGUAAAAUACACCUGUUAGCAAGGGCCGGGCAAGACCGGUGCCAGCCGCCGCGGUAACACCGGCGGCCCGAGUGGUGAUCGUGAUUAUCGGGUCUAAAGGGUCCGUAGCCGGUUUGGUCAGUCCUCCGGGAAAUCUGACGGCUUAACCGUUAGGCUUUCGGGGGAUACUGCCAGACUUGGAACCGGGAGAGGUAAGAGGUACUACAGGGGUAGGAGUGAAAUCUUGUAAUCCCUGUGGGACCACCUGUGGCGAAGGCGUCUUACCAGAACGGGUUCGACGGUGAGGGACGAAAGCUGGGGGCACGAACCGGAUUAGAUACCCGGGUAGUCCCAGCCGUAAACGAUGCUCGCUAGGUGUCAGGCAUGGCGCGACCGUGUCUGGUGCCGCAGGGAAGCCGUGA